rnacentral:rRNA from 1 species
GGAUGAACGCUGGCGGCGUGCCUAAUACAUGCAAGUAGAACGCUGAAGGAGGAGCUUGCUCUUCUGGAUGAGUUGCGAACGGGUGAGUAACGCGUAGGUAACCUGCCUGGUAGCGGGGGAUAACUAUUGGAAACGAUAGCUAAUACCGCAUGACAACAGUUAUUGCAUGAUAACUGUUUAAAAGGGGCAACUGCUCCACUACCAGAUGGACCUGCGUUGUAUUAGCUAGUUGGUGAGGUAACGGCGCACCAAGGCGACGAUACAUAGCCGACCUGAGAGGGUGAUCGGCCACACUGGGACUGAGACACGGCCCAGACUCCUACGGGAGGCAGCAGUAGGGAAUCUUCGGCAAUGGACGGAAGUCUGACCGAGCAACGCCGCGUGAGUGAAGAAGGUUUUCGGAUCGUAAAGCUCUGUUGUAAGAGAAGAACGAGUGUGAGAGUGGAAAGUUCACACUGUGACGGUAUCUUACCGGAAAGGGACGGCUAACUACGUG